UACGGAGGGGGCUAGCGUUGUUCGGAAUUACUGGGCGUAAAGGGUGCGUAGGCGGCGUGGAAAGUUGGGUGUGAAAUCCCUCGGCUUAACCGAGGAACUGCGCCCAAAACUACCAUGCUCGAGGAAGAUAGAGGUGAGCGGAACUUACGGUGGAGCGGUGAAAUGCGUUGAUAUCGUAAGGAACACCCGUGGCGAAAGCGGCUCACUGGGUCUUUUCUGACGCUGAUGCACGAAAGCUAGGGGAGCAAACGGG
rnacentral:rRNA from 1 species